GGGCCCGCACAAGCGGUGGAGCAUGUGGUUUAAUUCGAUGAUACGCGAGGAACCUUACCAGGGCUUAAAUGUAAGUUGCAUGGAUCAGAGAUGAUCCUUUCUUCGGACUACUUACAAGGUGCUGCAUGGUUGUCGUCAGCUCGUGCCGUGAGGUGUCAGGUUAAGUCCUAUAACGAGCGCAACCCCUAUCGUUAGUUGCCAGCAAGUAAAGUUGGGUACUCUAGCGAGACUGCCGGUGCAAACCGAGAGGAAGGUGGGGAUGACGUCAAAUCAUCACGGCCCUUACGUCCUGGCUACACACGUGCUACAAUGGCCGGUACAGAGAGCAGCCACCACGCGAGUGG
rnacentral:rRNA from 1 species